rnacentral:rRNA from 1 species
AUUGAACGCUGGCGGCAGGCCUAACACAUGCAAGUCGAACGAGUGGCACACGGGUGAGUAAUGUCUGUGAACCUGCCCGCUGUAUGGGAUUAACUACUGGAAACGGUACCUAAUCCCGCAUUCCAUCGGAUGUUCCCAGGUGGGCUUAGCUGGUAGGGGGGGUAACGGUUCACUUGGGCGACGAUCCCUAGGUGGUCUGAGAGGAGGACCAGCGAGACUGGAACUGUGGGGAGGGCCAGACGCCCAAGGGAGGCAGCAGAGGGGAAUAUGGCACAAUGGGCGCAAGGCGGAUGCAGCCGUGCCGCGGGUGUGAAGAAGGCCUUCGGGUUGUAAAGGAUGUUCAGCGAGGAGGCGGUACGCGCAGAAGAAGCACCGGCUAACUCCGUGCCAGCCGCCGCGGUAAUUC